UUGCCUCGGCGGGAACAGACGGCCCCGUAACACGGGCCGCCCCCGCCAGAGGACCCCCUAACUCUGUUUCUAUAAUGUUUCUUCUGAGUAAACAAGCAAAUAAAUUAAAACUUUCAACAACGGAUCUCUUGGCUCUGGCAUCGAUGAAGAACGCAGCGAAAUGCGAUAAGUAAUGUGAAUUGCAGAAUUCAGUGAAUCAUCGAAUCUUUGAACGCACAUUGCGCCCGCCAGUAUUCUGGCGGGCAUGCCUGUUCGAGCGUCAUUACAACCCUCAGGCCCCCGGGCCUGGCGUUGGGGAUCGGCGGAAGCCCCCUGCGGGCACAACGCCGUCCCCCAAAUACAGUGGCGGUCCCGCCGCAGCUUCCAUUGCGUAGUAGCUAACACCUCGCAACUGGAGAGCGGCGCGGCCACGCCGUAAAACACCCAACUUCUGAAUGUUGACCUCGAAUCAGGUAGGAAUA
rnacentral:rRNA from 1 species